rnacentral:rRNA from 1 species
GAUCCUGGCUCAGGAUGAACGCUGGCGGCGUGCUUAACACAUGCAAGUCGGAACGAGGAUUUAGCGGAAUGCGAUUCGUCAAAUGAAAUUAAAUCCGAGUGGCGGACGGGUGAGUAACGCGUGGAUAACCUGCCUCACACAGGGGGACAACAGCCGGAAACGGCUGCUAAUACCGCAUAACAUGAGCAGCCCGCAUGGGCAGCUCACCAAAGAUUUUANCGGU